GGGCCGCACAGCGGAGGAACAUGUGGUUAAUUCGAUGAUACGCGAGGAACCUUACCUGGGCUUAAAUGUAGAGUGCAUUUUUUAGAGAUAGAAAUUCCCUUCGGGGCUUUCUGCAAGGUGCUGCAUGGUUGUCGUCAGCUCGUGCCGUGAGGUGUCGGGUUAAGUCCCAUAACGAGCGCAACCCUUAUCGUUAGUUGCCAUCUGGUAAUGCAGGGGACUCUAGCGAAACUGCCACCGUAAGGUGAGAGGAAGUGGGGAUGACGUCAAAUCAGCACGGCCCUUAUGUCCAGGGCUACACACGUGUUACAAUGGUCGGUACAGAGGGCAGCUACCUGGUGACAGGAUGCUAAUCUCGAAAACCGGUCUCAGUUCGGAUCGAAGUCUGCAACUCGACUUCGUGAAGCUGGAUUCGCUAGUAAUCGCGCAUCAGCUAUGGCGCGGUGAAUACGUUCCCGGGCCUU
rnacentral:rRNA from 1 species